rnacentral:rRNA from 1 species
AGAUUGAACGCUGGCGGCAGGCCUAACGCAUGCAAGUCGAGCGGUAGAGAGGUGCUUGCAUCUCUUGAGAGCGGCGGACGGGUGAGUAAUGCCUAGGAAUCUGCCUAGUGGUGGGGGAUAACGUUCGGAAACGGACGCUAAUACCGCAUACGUCCUACGGGAGAAAGCGGGGGACCUUCGGGCCUCGCGCCAUUAGAUGAGCCUAGGUCGGAUUAGCUAGUUGGUGAGGUAAUGGCUCACCAAGGCGACGAUCCGUAACUGGUCUGAGAGGAUGAUCAGUCACACUGGAACUGAGACACGGUCCAGACUCCUACGGGAGGCAGCAGUGGGGAAUAUUGGACAAUGGGGCGAAAGCCUGAUCCAGCCAUGCCGCGUGUGUGAAGAGGUCUU